rnacentral:rRNA from 1 species
UACGAAGGGGGCUAGCGUUGCUCGGAAUUACUGGGCGUAAAGCGCACGUAGACGGUUUCUUAAGUCGGGGGUGAAAUCCUGGAGCUCAACUCCAGAACUGCCUCGAUACUGGGAAACUUGAGUCCGGGAGAGGUGAGUGGAACUGCGAGUGUAGAGGUGAAAUUCGUAGAUAUUCGCAAGAACACCAGUGGCGAAGGCGGCUCACUGGCCCGGUACUGACGCUGAGGUGCGAAAGCGUGGGGAGCAAACAGGG